rnacentral:misc_RNA from 1 species
GAUGAAGAACGCAGCGAAAUGCGAUAAGUAAUGUGAAUUGCAGAAUUCAGUGAAUCAUCGAAUCUUUGAACGCACAUUGCGCCCGCCAGUAUUCUGGCGGGCAUGCCUGUUCGAGCGUCAUUACAACCCUCAGGCCCCCGGGCCUGGCGUUGGGGAUCGGCGGAGCCCCCCGUGGGCACACGCCGUCCCCCAAAUACAGUGGCGGUCCCGCCGCAGCUUCCAUCGCGUAGUAGCUAACACCUCGCGACUGGAGAGCGGCGCGGCCACGCCGUAAAACACCCAACUCUUCUGAAGUUGACCUCUAAUCAGGUAGGAAUACCCGCUGAACUUAAGCAUAUCAAUAAGCGGAGGA